GCCCUGAGCAUUUCUUUCUUUCCUGUUGCUACCAGGAAUUGGUACCCUUGUUCUCUGGGCUGGAGUACUCAAGCUGGGAGAGAGACAGAGUGGUUACUUCCUGCCCAGAAAUAAAGAAAUAAAUGCCCAGCCCCAGAAAUCCAGGUGCUCACAGGAACUGAAAGAAAGGAAAGAAGCGGACAGGAGGACAUUUUACUUUUAGUAAAUGAAUUUAGCAUCCUUUUGAGGGGAAGAUAUAAUUCUUCAAAGUUAAGGGAGAAUUGCCUCAAAUGUCCAUAUUGGCAUGAGCUUCUUGAGCAAGAAGGGACAGGUGGCAGUGAGAUGAGCUGCUUACUAGUUUACAAGGACAGAUCUGAGUGCCUCUUCCUUCGGCCAUUUUUCUCUAUAUUUUUCAAUCUCCUUUCUGUCAUCCCAGUAACCAAUUCAACAAGUAAUACAUAAAGCCUCAAUGAAGUGAACCAAUGCUCAAGUUUUGUCAAGUUGUUUUGUACUAUACUUGUUGGGAAUUAGUAUACAGGGCGUGGACAUGAGUCCAUGGAACAAUUGUUCAAUCUGAGCUUCCCUUAAGCAAUCAGGAGUAGGCCUUAGAAAAUCUCAUGGCCUGCUGUAGCUGAGCAAACCAAGCUACCAGAGUAACUGUGAGAAGCUCCCACGGCAGUGACUCCCACAUCGCCCAAUUAAGGAACUCAGAAAAAUAUUGUUACCAGCAGCUGGCCUCAAGGACAAGGUCUACGUGACUGCUAAUCACAAGGGGGGUUCUCUUCUUGCAGGUGGGGUUGUUAUCUUAUAAUUGUUUGUCUGAGUGCUUUUGUCCAAUAAUCUUGUGUGAAACACUAUCCACCUCUGUCAAAUUCACUAUAAAAGCUAGGCUAUUCGGGCAAUAAAAUGAAGUUCACUGAUCACUCAUAUUGAGCGUCUGUGUCUUCCCUCCGUCGACAACAUAUACUAAUCUAUUUUAUUUGUCUUUCAAGGUCCACGUGUUUAAUGGAACUCAUUUCAGAUAGCUGUUGCUUUAAUUUUUUCCCCAUAAAAUCAGCUGUGCUAUAUUACUG
rnacentral:lncRNA from 1 species